CUGGUGUAUCUGUUGGCUAUCAAAGCCAUGGCAGAGUAGCCAAGUCGGGAAGGGAUAAACGCUGAAGGCAUCUAAGCGUGAAGCCCCCCUCAAGAUGAGAUAUCCCAUCGCAAGAGUAAGACCCCUUGAAGACGACGAGGUAGAUAGGGCAGAGGUGGAAGCAUGGCAACAUGUGCAGCUGACUGUCACUAAUAGGUCGAGGGCUUAACCAG
rfam:[Clostridium] celerecrescens strain 152B c7, whole genome shotgun sequence.